ACAGGUGCUGCAUGGCUGUCGUCAGCUCGUGUCGUGAGAUGUUGGGUUAAGUCCCGCAACGAGCGCAACCCUUGCCUUUAGUUGCCAGCAGUUCGGCUGGGCACUCUAAAGGGACUGCCGGUGUUAAACCGGAGGAAGUGGGGAUGACGUCAAGUCCUCAUGGCCUUUAUGACCAGGGCUACACACGUACUACAAUGGCCGAUACAAAGGGCAGCGACACUGCGAGGUGAAGCCAAUCCCGUAAAAAUCGGUCUCAGUCCGGAUUGGAGUCUGCAACUCGACUCCAUGAAGUUGGAAUCGCUAGUAAUCGUGGAUCAGCAUGCCACGGUGAAUACGUUCCCGGGCCUU
rnacentral:rRNA from 1 species